rnacentral:rRNA from 1 species
CCUACGGGAGACAGCAGUGAGGAAUAUUGGUCAAUGGACGAGAGUCUGAACCAGCCAAGUAGCGUGAAGGAUGACUGCCCUAUGGGUUGUAAACUUCUUUUAUAUGGGAAUAAAAUGUUCCACGUGUGGGUUUUUGUAUGUACUUUAUGAAUAAGGAUCGGCUAACUCCGUGCCAGCAGCCGCGGUAAUACGGAGGGUCCGAGCGUUAUCCGGCUUUAUUGGGUUUAAAGGGUGCGUAGGUGGAUUGUUAAGUCAGCUGUGAAAGUGUGCGGCUCAACCGGAAACGUGCAGUUGAAACUGGCAGUCUUGAGUACAGUAGAGGUAGGCGGAAUGCGUGGUGUAGCGGUGAAAUGCUUAGAUAUCACGAAGAACUCCGAUUGCGAAGGCAGCUCACUGGACUGCAACUGACACUGAGGCACGAAAGUGUGGGUAUCAAACAGGAUUAGAUACCCCUGUAGUC